rnacentral:miRNA from 1 species
UUCCAAAUUCCUGAGCAAACAUAU